ensembl:lncRNA
ACACACACACACACACACACACACACACACACAACACCCCCCCCUACCUUGUCCUUGUCCUGGAGCCAUGCAGAAGCUCGCCGUGUGAGAUUUAAUCGGCUGCGCCUUCUCCUGGGCCGCCGCCGUUUUCGCACGGAGGAAGUCGGCGUCCUGUAGGCGCUCCACGCGCUCGUCCUGUUUCCAGCACAGAUCCGUGAGAUCGGCGACGUCGGCAAACCCGUGAUGGUGACCGAGCAUUCCCAAGAGCGCGGCGCACUUCGAGCGGAUGCGCACUUCCGAUUUUCCCGUGUGCAUGUUCGAACCCUCAGCGCAUAACACCUCACCACGGAUUCUUCCUCGUACCUGCCCAGGAGGAGAGGGGAAAGAAAUCAUGUACCGGACGCUCCAGAGCGAAGCGCGAAGAGCGAAGAGCUCGUCGUCCCCCACCCCCUCGACCUUUCUUCCUUCCUUCCUUCCUUUCUUCACGCAGGUUUCCGUACACUGAACCUCUUUCAUCUGAACAACAGACCUAAUCGUACACGACGGCAGAGCUCCGAAGAGGAGCGUGUAAACGUCGAACCGCUCGCAGACACGUUUUAAUGACAUUGACACCCAUUUCCUUCUCCGUUCUCGACCCUGAACCGACAGCUCUACUUAACACCUACGGCUUUUAAACGGACCUGUGCGGCGUUUAAUUACAGCGCUCAGCGUGCGUUUAACCCCUGCAGCGUUCACUCACAGCGCGGUGAACUCUACUGAACGCGCGCAGUCCCGCGGCGGCCGGAUGAGGAUGAGAAUGCGAAUACGAUGGACGCCUGUACAUGAAGUCUGCUGUGGUAGCGCCUGAUACGAGUGUUUUGACCUGUAGAGUAUCCAGUGAAGAGUUUCAUGUAGUGUUCAGUUCACUCCUGCAGCGCUCGGUUAAUAAACUACACUGAACUGAAUGAAAAUCAGACCCUGUUGAUCAUGAACACGUCGAUGAUUAGUACCACCGCAGAACUGAUUUCAUUUUUACCAGCUCCGACUGAACGCCUACAGUGUUGCGCUCGUCGCUGCUUUUGAAUCAACACCUUCAGGGCUAAAUGAACUGUCGUAGUGCCGCGUGCGGGUUUAAUUCACGCGGCAUUUGAUCCCGUCCGCUGAACACACACAAAUGUUCCCCUUCGGGUCGUUUUAUUACAGGCCGCGUGUCCCUGCGGCGCUCGUCCGGCGUUCGGGUAACACUCACAGCUGAAUCAACGUCUGCAGGUGACGUUCAUGUCAUUCGAUUAAUUAACACGAGAAGAAUUCCUCUCAUCUUUAGAGUACUGAAUUAACGCCCGCAGUGUUGGGUUCAUUACACACGUUUAUUUAAGACGUGUAACGUCAGGUUAAUUACACACGUUUAUUUAAGACGUGUAACGUCGGGUUAAUUACACACGUUUAUUUAAGACGUGUAACGUCGGGUUAAUUACACACGUUUAUUUAAGACGUGUAACGUCGGGUUAAUUACACACGUUUAUGCAGGUUAAUUAUAAACAUUUAUUUAGGUUAAUUAUAAACAUUUAUUUAGGUUAAUUAUAAAUAUUUAUUUAGGUUAAUUAUAAACAUUUAUUUAGGUUAAUUAAAAACAUUUAUUUAGGUUAAUUAUAAAUAUUUAUUUAGGUUAUUUAUAAACGUUUAUUUAAGACGUGUAGUGUUAAAUAAAUGUUUAUAAUUAAUCUAACACCACACGCCUUGAAUAAAUGUUUAUAAUUAAUGUAACCUGUAGUGUUAGAUUAAUUAUAAACGUUUAUUUAAAUACUACAGUCUUCAUUUAAUUAUCAGUGGAAUUAGCAUUUACAGUGCUGAGUUUUCUGAUCAGCACUGAUCUGAGACCUGUAGCAUUCACGGACUCACCAGUGUUGUAUUAAUGAAUGAUCACACAGUGUGUGUGGAAUUAGUGUGGAAUUAAGGCUCGCAGUGUUCAGUUCAGCAGUAGUGUUGGAUAUCUAAGCUUCUGGGAUUGACAGCCCGUCACAGUGGUUCUGGGUGGUGUGGAGUGGUUCUGGGUGGUGUGGAGUGGUUCUGGGUGGUGUUGAUGGUUCUGGGUGGUGUUGAGUGGUUCUGGGUGGUGUGGAGUGGUUCUGGGUGGUGUGGAGUGGUUCUGGGUGGUGUGGAGUGUUCACGUACCUGUAGAAGGUGAGCGUCUCCGCGGUGUGCAGUGUUGAGCAGCUGAUGUCGGGCUCCUCAUCAUCUUUUCUAACACAUUAACAGCGUUCCUCUGCGCGUCCUCAUCCUCAGCCUCAUCCUCUACCCCAACACACACGCUCACGAACUCACACACUCACACAC